UACGUAGGGGGCUAGCGUUAUCCGGAAUUACUGGGCGUAAAGGGUGCGUAGGCGGUCUUUCAAGCCAGAAGUGAAAGGCUACGGCUCAACCGUAGUAAGCUUUUGGAACUGUAAGACUUGAGUGCAGGAGAGGAGAGUGGAAUUCCUAGUGUAGCGGUGAAAUGCGUAGAUAUUAGGAGGAACACCAGUAGCGAAGGCGGCUCUCUGGACUGUAACUGACGCUGGGGCACGAAAGCGUGGGGAGCAAACAGGAUUAGAUACCCGCGUAGUCCCUGA
rnacentral:rRNA from 1 species